rnacentral:piRNA from 1 species
GGUGGGUGCAUAUGUUU